rnacentral:rRNA from 1 species
GAUGAACGCUGGCGGCGUGCCUAAUACAUGCAAGUCGAGCGAACAGACGAGGAGCUUGCUCCUCUGACGUUAGCGGCGGACGGGUGAGUAACACGUGGAUAACCUACCUAUAAGACUGGGAUAACUUCGGGAAACCGGAGCUAAUACCGGAUAAUAUAUUGAACCGCAUGGUUCAAUAGUGAAAGACGGUUUUGCUGUCACUUAUAGAUGGAUCCGCGCCGCAUUAGCUAGUUGGUAAGGUAACGGCUUACCAAGGCAACGAUGCGUAGCCGACCUGAGAGGGUGAUCGGCCACACGGGAACUGAGACACGGUCCAGACUCCUACGGGAGGCAGCAGUAGGGAAUCUUCCGCAAUGGGCGAAAGCCUGACGGAGCAACGCAGCGUGAGUGAUGAAGGUCUUCGGAUCGUAAAACUCUGUUAUUAGGGAAGAACAAAUGUGUAAGUAACUAUGCACGUCUUGACGGUACCUAAUCAGAAAGCCACGGCUAACUACGUG